GGGAAAGGAAGAGCUCUUGACAUUCGUUUGUGCCUUGUCUAUGGCAUGUGUUAGUGAUUCAGACGUUUUAGCACCCGGGAAACAGCACUUUGACCGUGGAUUGCUGAUAGGAAAAAUACGAGUUGGUAACAGCAAAUGAUAAGCCAAUCACAAAACGGUGAAGAUGAAAAAAGCCUUUCCACACUAUCCAGUCCCACAACAGCAGCAUGUUUCUGGCUCAUUCAAUCGUCACUCUAGGACUUUACCAAAAAGGGAAUUAUCUUACUAGGAAACUUGGUGCAGAAGUAGUUGAUUGAUAAUUCUGGAUAUGACAUGAGGGUUUUGAUGUUUAUAUGAUGUUCAAGUUGUUAAUGGAGAUGCCAAUGAGGAGACGCUGAUAAGUGUGCUUGAAGCUGCUACUGUUCUUGGUGGUGGUCCUUGUUCAUCUGUCAUGUCACAUCCAUGCAGCGGUAAUCUGUUCCUA